rnacentral:lncRNA from 1 species
CAGUAGCACUCUUUCAAAACUAGCCGCAGCAAAAACCUAAGUUGUGGUUUAGAAAAAUGAACAGUGUCGUACAACAACACCGCAUGUUCGGUUGAAUUGUUAUCAUUGUGUAGCAGGUAACGGCUAGUGAAUGUGCAGAGAAAUCUGCACGAAGAGCGAAUCACGUCACAUUUGUGUUGUGCGUGAACUCGUGUUCACUCUCAAGUCAGUUGUAGGCAGUCGUUGCCAGACAAAGGAGGACAAAGAACGAACACAGGAAGGAAGCUGGGGAGCCAGAGACUGUAUUCCCAUGGAAAUGUGAAAUGGUGCCAGUCCUUUAGUAGGGUCCAUGAGGGAGCCAAACAUGAUGCAAGUCCUGUAUGUUCCCUGCCUUCAAUCUUCUAGACCUCUACUGCUGGUGUCUUCUGUUCAGAAGUAUAUUCUCUUUAAGCUGGUAACUGUUUGAAGAUAAAUUACAUUCAAGACGGAGAUGCUAGUAUAAGAAACGAUUUAUCAACAAAUGGCUUUUUCAGAAGAAAAAUAUUUAAGCACUUUUGGGGCAGACAGUGUUUGGAGAGACUGGCAAAAAAUGACUGAAUAAAACUACAACAACAACAACAAUUAAGCAAUAUCAGAUCAGCUAAAUCGGAUGCUGAACUACCAGUAGCUGCUGGAAAUGUGGGACAGAGUUAGCGUUGAAUAACUUCCAGCUGGAUCUAGUCUAGAACUUUCUGAGUUCAUUUGAACCAUAUCUGUACAGUCAACACUAUAAUUCAGAUCUGUCAUAGGGUUCAUGGAGGUCAUAGCCAACAUAAUACAGAUGCCCCUGUUCCAAGAUUCAUUCCUUCAAACCAAGACCAAGCUGAUGGAUAAAGUAUCGGCAAAUUUAUUUGUGUCCCUUGCUUGAAGCUGCUUCCCAUGGAAUUUUUUCAUGAAGUCAUCGACUGUUAACGUGGCAUGAAGACAGAAUGCACUGAUCAGACCGAGUUUCUCGCUGUUUCCUGGCAGCCAAUGGAAGAGCUGAGAAUACCAGUGCGAGUUGUGUUGAAUUUUCCAAAAAAAAAAAAUAGCACUGAUUCCAAGUAUUGUUUCUCUCUGGUCAGAAAAAAAAAUCAGAGAAAUAACUUAUCAAUGAUAUAUUCCUGUCUGUUAGUAAUGAUUGAUUGCAGACUGAAUGCUACCAUGGGUCUACUGGCAAGCUGGAAAGAUACAAAGAUAAAGAUGAUUUAUUAAACUUACUGAACAUGACAUUAGAGAAUAUUCAGUUGUGAAAGUGAAAUAGGCAUUAAAAUAUUAAGAUCAAGUGCAUGAUGGUUUAUGCUUGACAUUAACACUUACUGAAUGUAACAUUAAAGGAUGUUCAAGUGUGACAGUGAAAUAGACAUUAAACAUUAAAGAUCAAGUUGUGGUUUAAGAUAAAAUACUGAAAAGAUCAACACCAGCAUGUUAACAGUAAUGUUACAAUUUAUUUUAUGGCAUUUAGAACCCUAGCAUUGAUAUUGUACUUACCAACUUUCUCUAUCUUUGCUCCAUCAUGCUCACAUGAGACAUUGUAAUUGACCAGAUCCUUGUUAGUUAGCUUUCAGUGUCU